rnacentral:rRNA from 1 species
CCUACGGGUGGCAGCAGUGGGGAAUAUUGGGCAAUGGGCGCAAGCCUGACCCAGCAACGCCGCGUGAAGGAAGAAGGCUUUCGGGUUGUAAACUUCUUUUCUCAGGGACGAAGCAAGUGACGGUACCUGAGGAAUCAGCCACGGAUAACUACGUGCCAGCAGCCGCGGUAAUACGUAGGUGGCAAGCGUUAUCCGGAUUUACUGGGUGUAAAGGGCGUGUAGGCGGGAAAGCAAGUCAGAUGUGAAAACCAUGGGCGCAACCUGUGGCCUGCAUUUGAAACUGUGUUUCUUGAGUGCUGGAGAGGCAGACGGAAGUCCUAGUGUAGCGGUGAAAUGCGUAGAUAUUAGGAGGAACACCAGUGGCGAAGGCGGUCUGCUGGACAGCAACUGACGCUGAGGCGCGAAAGCGUGGGGAGCAAACAGGAUUAGAUACCCCGGUAGUC